ACAAUCCAUCCAUCCCUGUUCCGUACAGUCAAACGUGGUAAUCGUGGAGGAAUCUUUUGGCUCCGUCAGUAGGUGGCUAAAAUCAAGUUGUCCCACAGCCGCCAGAUGACGCGAGUGUCUUUGAGAGGACGAAAUGUCGAAAUAUUCGCCAUUUCGUUCCGAAACGCCAAGUGAAAAGGCAAUCUGGCAUAUCAUUUCCACUUGGCUAAAUAAUCGAUCAAGUGGACUGAAACUACUUUUCAUUUUGCUUAAAUGUCCAUUGUUAGCUGUACCUGUUCGGAUGUACGUCUCAUCUCACGCAGAAACACUACAGAGUUGGUGUUCAGGUUGGAGAUCCUGUUGCUUAACUGUUGCAGAAUGUGAGAACUCGACAAAUUCUAUGCUCCAGCCGGAUCCUGAAGUGUCAUUGCAGGAAAACUUUUUGAAAUGAACUUGGUGACACUUAAACUAUGCCUGUGCAGUGGUUUUGCAGCCUGUUUCCAGUUGAGAGAUGUGAUUAUGCAGCUGAUACAGGAUUGAAGAAAAAGAACUUAAGUAGCUUUGCUGGUGUUCUUCUGAAAUUGCUGUGCCACAGGAGUUGCAGAUAGUGUUUGGUUCCUCAUAGAAGUUUAUUUAAAGAGUCUGGAGAUGAUCAGCCACUUCUGCCUAUAACUUAUGUAAAACGUCAAAGUUGUAA
rnacentral:lncRNA from 1 species